rnacentral:misc_RNA from 1 species
UCCGAGUUGACCCCGGCAGUCUCCCAUGAGUCCCCGGCAUCACCCGCUGGCAACAUGGAACAAGGGUUGCGCUCGUUGCGGGACUUAACCCAACAUCUCACGACACGAGCUGACGACAGCCAUGCACCACCUGCACACCAACCACAAGGGAACACCCAUCUCUGAGUGCGUCUGGUGCAUGUCAAACCCAGGUAAGGUGGGGAUGACGUUACGGUCUUACU